CCUACGGGAGGCAGCAGUGGGGAAUAUUGCACAAUGGGGGAAACCCUGAUGCAGCGACGCCGCGUGAGUGAAGAAGUAUUUCGGUAUGUAAAGCUCUAUCAGCAGGGAAGAAAAUGACGGUACCUGACUAAGAAGCUCCGGAUAACUACGUGCCAGCAGCCGCUGUAAUACGUAGGGGGCAAGCGUUAUCCGGAUUUACUGGGGGUAAAGGGAGCGUAGACGGCGCGGCAAGUCUGAAGUGAAAGGCAGGGGCUUAACCCCUGAACUGCUUUGGAAACUGGCAUGCUAGAGUGCUGGAGAGGUAAGUGGAAUUCCUAGUGUAGCGGUGAAAUGCGUAGAUAUUAGGAAGAACACCGAUGGCGAAGGCAGCUUACUAAACAGUAACUGACGUUGAGGCUCGAAAGCGUGGGGAGCAAACAGGAUUAGAUACCCGAGUAGUC
rnacentral:rRNA from 1 species